CGUGUCGUUCAGCGCGGCAGAUAGGAUUUUUAUUGACUCGUUGCGUCCGUCUGCCCAUGCAGGAACCUCGCUGCCAGAACCACUAGAAGUUGAGCCGCUACAGACCAUCCCCUGGGAAGUAGCAAUGGGUCGUGGUUCGCGUCCAGAGAGCUCUAGGGCGGGUGAGGCCGCUGCUGCCAACGCUAGGCGCGAUGAGCGUUUGGCGAGUAGUAGUGCUGCUAGCGGCUCCGCUGGAGAAGAAGAAGUAGCGGGGCAGAAUGCUGAGUCGGCGUGGUUUCUAUCUGAUGGCACCGCCGUCGACGAGACAGAAGGGCGGAUGGACGCCGCUACCGUUAACCGAAUGAAGCAGACGUUCCGGAUGCCGGGCUCGGUAAAGCUGCGCCCGCCGACAGCGGAUGAGAAGGCCUCGAUUCUCCCAGCGGGAUUUGCUGCCGUUCAUGAGGCGAUAUUCCGCCAAGGAGUGACAUUCCCGCUGGUGCCAAAUCUCCAAAUCCUGGUGUGCGAAUUUGGCCUUGCCCUUGGUCAGAUUUGCCCCAACAUGUGGCGGUUGAUGUUGGCCAUGAACUCACUCUGGCGGUUGUCCGGGUGCGAGGGGCCUACUGUGGCGGAAGUGCUUUACUUCUACGAGCUGGAGUACGUGAAGCGCCGGGGUUGCAAAGGGCAAGUGAACUUGAGCCGCCGGCAGGGAGCCCCCAAGCUGAUCGAAAAUCUAAGGGACUCAAUGUCCUACUGGCGGGGGACCUUCUGCGUCGCCACAGAGGGUUGGGAGUAUCACGCCAGGUCGAACGAGGAAGGGCCGACAUUUAGGAUUAAGUCGGAGUUCCAACCCAUUCGAGGUUGGUAACCGGUUUCCGCUGAACGUAGUUGGCGGGUUUAUGUAUUUGCAUUUGUAGUCUCACUAACGAUUACCGUUUUUGUGCAGCGGGACUGUGGUACACGCUAACGCGCGAAGAAGAGUGCCGCGUAGCGAGGAUCAGAGGUUGCUGGCGGAACCGCAACUUGCUAGAUUUCUGACUUCUGACCGGUUGGGAGUUGCUGGUCGACCAGCGGCUAACGCGUUCCAUUGGUGAGAAAUCUCCGCCACACUGUUUUCUCAUUUUUUUUGUAUGUGUGCUCUGGACUGACUGGUACCCAUUUUUUUUUUUUUUUUUUUAGAAACUCCGCCGGGUAAUAAAUCAAGUCGCGACGCUUUCGAAAAGGCCAUGGACCGCGCGGAGAUAGACGACUUUCUGGAGGCCAUGUACGCCGAGGGGCUGGCGGCUCAGCAGACGCUGGUGAACCCCGAGACACUGGCACUGAGUCAGUCGGAGGUUCCCGUGGUGCUGCCUAUGCCGCACCACUCCCACCUUGGUGAGGAUGGUCUGCCGGUAGUGCAGACAGGGACCCAAGCGGCUGGCGGGGAUAGGGGAGGCGUUGCGGCUGGGCAACAGAAGGAGCGGAUGCCUGCUCAGAGGCGUGGCCCUCAAAAGGGGAAAGUGGUGCAACCGGCGGAGCCGCCAGCGAGGGUGACGAGGACCGCCGCCGGGAACCCAAGGGCGCUGGAGAGAAAACGCCGGCAGGUUGAUUCUCCUGACGAGGAAGAGGAAGAGGAGGUUGAGGUAAUCGGGGCCCGCCGGCAGAAGAAGGCUCGCCAAGCUCCUUCGAAAACUGUUGCGGUGGAGGGAGAGACGGCCGCCGGCAGCGAUCUGGACUCGUUUGCCUAGUACGCCGCAUUCAUGACAGAUGGUGAGCGGGAGUUCCUCUUCCAUCUAUGAGAACGGCUAGGAUUCGGCGGCCUAGCGGGUAUCUCGCGCCCCACGGCAAUUGACCAAUCUCCCUUCAGCUCGGCGUUUGGUCAAAUAUCGGCGGGACUGCACGACAUGUUCGUGGAGGCGUCGAAGCGGCCCCUGAUUGAGGGGGAGCUGAGGGAUGAAAUCCAAGGUCUCCAGAGGGAGUUGGCGGAGACGAAGGAGAAGCUGGCGGAGGCGGAGCAGGGGUUUGCCAAGGCGGAAUGUGACUAUGCCGACGUCCGCGGUAAGCUCAACGUAGCCAUUGAGCGGGACUUGGAGAAGAAUGAAUAUGUCUCCAAGUUGGAGCAAGACAUAGUCCUGCUGCAGGAGCGGAUAGCCGCCAAGGACAAAAAACUCAUUAUUGUGCAGCGGGAGUCCGCCGACCGAAUGGCUGAAGUGAAGCGGCUGGGGGGUGAGGUUACCCAGCUGAGGGCUGAAGGGAGUACCGCUGCGGCCGCUGCCGUUGAGGCGUUCAAGCAGUCGGCGGAGUUUAAGAAGGCAAUGAUCGAGUCGGCGAAGGCUGGGGCCCGAGCAAAUAUAGACAUGCUGAAGCGGAAGGGCGCCAUUGACUUCGCCAAAGCGUCACAGCCUGACGCGCCGUCGGCUGAGAGUAUCCCGCCGGAGAUAGACGUGCCUGCCCCAGCGGGAGGUGCCUGCUCGGGCAGCGGAGAAAGUGGCGCUCAUCCGGCGGAAGGGUCCCAGCAGACUCCCCACCCCACCCCGUCGGAGGUGUCACGUGCCGGCUUCCUGGAGGCACAUACCCGGGCGGAUGGUACCAUGGAGACCCUCAGUCCGACGGCGCGAGGGUCCGACCAAGCGAGUCGAUCGAUCGUGCCGCCGCCCGCCGAAGCAGAAAAUGUCGAAGGCAACCCCUGAAGCCGGCCGAGGCCGC
rnacentral:lncRNA from 1 species